GUCGAGAAUAAUUCACAAUGGGGGCAACCCUGAUGGAGCGACGCCGCGUGGAGGAUAAGGUCUUCGGAUUGUAAACUCCUGUCAUGCGUGAACAAGGUUGCUUGGUUAAUACCUGGGCAAAUUGAUGGUAACGCAAGAGGAAGAGACGGCUAACUCUGUGCCAGCAGCCGCGGUAAUACAGAGGUCUCAAGCGUUGUUCGGAAUCACUGGGCGUAAAGGGUGCGUAGGUGGCGUGGUAAGUCAGAUGUGAAAGCCCGGGGCUCAACCUCGGAACUGCAUCCGAUACUGCCAUGCUAGAGUACUGGAGAGGUGACUAGAAUUCUCGGUGUAGCAGUGAAAUGCGUAGAUAUCGAGAGGAAUACCAAAGGCGUAGGCAGGUCACUGGACAGUUACUGACACUGAGGCACGAAGGCCAGGGGAGCGAACGGGAUUAGAAACCCGUGUAGUCC
rnacentral:rRNA from 1 species